GACGAACGCUGGCGGCGUGCCUAAUACAUGCAAGUCGAGCGCAGGAAACUGACGGAACUCUUCGGAGGGAAGGCAGCGGAAUGAGCGGCGGACGGGUGAGUAACACGUAAGGAACCUGCCUCAAGGAUUGGGAUAACUCCGAGAAAUCGGAGCUAAUACCGGAUAGUUCAUCGGACCGCAUGGUCCGUUGAUGAAAGGCGCUCCGGCGUCACCUUGAGAUGGCCUUGCGGUGCAUUAGCUAGUUGGUGGGGUAACGGCCCACCAAGGCGACGGUGCAUAGCCGACCUGUGAGGGUGAUCGGCCACCCUGGGACUGAGACACGGCCCAGACUCCUACGGGAGGCAGCAGUAGGGAAUCUUCCACAAUGGACGAAAGUCUGAUGGAGCAACGCCGCGUGAGUGAUGAAGGUUUUCGGAUCGUAAAACUCUGUUGUAAGGGAAGAACACUUACGAGAGGGAAUGCUCGUACCUUGACGGUACCUUACGAGAAAGCCACGGCUAACUACGUGCCAGCCGCCGCGGUAAAAC
rnacentral:rRNA from 1 species